rnacentral:rRNA from 1 species
GGUUAAGCGACUAAGCGUACACGGUGGAUGCCCUGGCAGUCAGAGGCGAUGAAGGACGUGCUAAUCUGCGAUAAGCGUCGGUAAGGUGAUAUGAACCGUUAUAACCGGCGAUUUCCGAAUGGGGAAACCCAGUGCAAUUCGUUGCACUAUCGUUAAGUGAAUACAUAGCUUAACGAAGCGAACCGGGGGAACUGAAACAUCUAAGUACCCCGAGGAAAAGAAAUCAACCGAGAUUCCCCCAGUAGCGGCGAGCGAACGGGGAGCAGCCCAGAGUCUGAAUCAGCAUGUGUGUUAGUGGAAGCGUCUGGAAAGUCGCACGAUACAGGGUGAAAGUCCCGUACACCAAAAUGCAUAUGUUGUGAACUCGAAGAGUAGGGCGGGACACGUGGUAUCCUGUCUGAAUAUGGGGGGACCAUCCUCCAAGGCUAAAUACUCCUGACUGACCGAUAGUGAACCAGUACCGUGAGGGAAAGGCGAAAAGAACCCCGGCGAGGGGAGUGAAAAAGAACCUGAAACCGUGUACGUACAAGCAGUGGGAGCCUCUUUUAUGGGGUGACUGCGUACCUUUUGUAUAAUGGGUCAGCGACUUAUAUUCUGUAGCAAGGUUAACCGAAUAGGGGAGCCGAAGGGAAACCGAGUCUUAACUGGGCGUUAAGUUGCAGGGUAUAGACCCGAAACCCGGUGAUCUAGCCAUGGGCAGGUUGAAGGUUGGGUAACACUAACUGGAGGACCGAACCGACUAAUGUUGAAAAAUUAGCGGAUGACUUGUGGCUGGGGGUGAAAGGCCAAUCAAACCGGGAGAUAGCUGGUUCUCCCCGAAAGCUAUUUAGGUAGCGCCUCGUGAAUUCAUCUCCGGGGGUAGAGCACUGUUUCGGCAAGGGGGUCAUCCCGACUUACCAACCCGAUGCAAACUGCGAAUACCGGAGAAUGUUAUCACGGGAGACACACGGCGGGUGCUAACGUCCGUCGUGAAGAGGGAAACAACCCAGACCGCCAGCUAAGGUCCCAAAGUCAUGGUUAAGUGGGAAACGAUGUGGGAAGGCCCAGACAGCCAGGAUGUUGGCUUAGAAGCAGCCAUCAUUUAAAGAAAGCGUAAUAGCUCACUGGUCGAGUCGGCCUGCGCGGAAGAUGUAACGGGGCUAAACCAUGCACCGAAGCUGCGGCAGCGACGCUUAUGCGUUGUUGGGUAGGGGAGCGUUCUGUAAGCCUGUGAAGGUGUGCUGUGAGGCAUGCUGGAGGUAUCAGAAGUGCGAAUGCUGACAUAAGUAACGAUAAAGCGGGUGAAAAGCCCGCUCGCCGGAAGACCAAGGGUUCCUGUCCAACGUUAAUCGGGGCAGGGUGAGUCGACCCCUAAGGCGAGGCCGAAAGGCGUAGUCGAUGGGAAACAGGUUAAUAUUCCUGUACUUGGUGUUACUGCGAAGGGGGGACGGAGAAGGCUAUGUUGGCCGGGCGACGGUUGUCCCGGUUUAAGCGUGUAGGCUGGUUUUCCAGGCAAAUCCGGAAAAUCAAGGCUGAGGCGUGAUGACGAGGCACUACGGUGCUGAAGCAACAAAUGCCCUGCUUCCAGGAAAAGCCUCUAAGCAUCAGGUAACAUCAAAUCGUACCCCAAACCGACACAGGUGGUCAGGUAGAGAAUACCAAGGCGCUUGAGAGAACUCGGGUGAAGGAACUAGGCAAAAUGGUGCCGUAACUUCGGGAGAAGGCACGCUGAUAUGUAGGUGAAGCGACUUGCUCGUGGAGCUGAAAUCAGUCGAAGAUACCAGCUGGCUGCAACUGUUUAUUAAAAACACAGCACUGUGCAAACACGAAAGUGGACGUAUACGGUGUGACGCCUGCCCGGUGCCGGAAGGUUAAUUGAUGGGGUCAGCGCAAGCGAAGCUCUUGAUCGAAGCCCCGGUAAACGGCGGCCGUAACUAUAACGGUCCUAAGGUAGCGAAAUUCCUUGUCGGGUAAGUUCCGACCUGCACGAAUGGCGUAAUGAUGGCCAGGCUGUCUCCACCCGAGACUCAGUGAAAUUGAACUCGCUGUGAAGAUGCAGUGUACCCGCGGCAAGACGGAAAGACCCCGUGAACCUUUACUAUAGCUUGACACUGAACAUUGAGCCUUGAUG